GACGAACGCUGGCGGCGUGCUUAACACAUGCAAGGUCGAGCGGUAAGGCCCUUUCGGGGGUACACGAGCGGCGAACGGGUGAGUAACACGUGGGUGACCUGCCCUCAGCUCUGGGAUAAGCCUGGGAAACCGGGUCUAAUACCGGAUAUGACUCCAUGACGCAUGUUGUGGGGUGGAAAGCCUUGUGCGGCUGAGGAUGGGCCCGCGGCCUAUCAGCUUGUUGGUGGGGUGANGGCCUACCAAGGCGACGACGGGUAGCCGGCCUGAGAGGGCGACCGGCCACACUGGGACUGAGACACGGCCCAGACUCCUACGGGAGGCAGCAGUGGGGAAUCUUGCGCAAGUGGGCGAAAGCCUGACGCAGCGACGCCGCGUGAGGGAUGACGGCCU
rnacentral:rRNA from 1 species